UAAAGAAUCUUGCCCAAUGGACGAAAGUCUGAGGCAGCCACGCCGCGUGCGGGAAGAAGGUGUUCUGCAUCGUAAACCGCUUUCAGCAGGGAAGAAGCGCAAGUGACGGUACCUGCAGAAGAAGCCCCGGCCAACUACGUGCCAGCAGCCGCGGUAAUACGUAGGGGGCGAGCGUUGUCCGGAAUCAUUGGGCGUAAAGCGCGUGUAGGCGGUCCAGUUAGUCGGAUGUGAAAUCCUGGGGCUCAACCCCAGAACUGCAUUCGAUACUGCUGGACUUGAGGAAGGUAGAGGAGAGUGGAAUUCCCAGUGUAGCGGUGGAAUGCGCAGAUAUUGGGAGGAACACCAGUGGCGAAGGCGGCUCUCUGGGCCUUGCCUGACGCUGAGACGCGAAAGCAUGGGUAGCAAACAGGAUUAGAUACCCCCGUAGUCC
rnacentral:rRNA from 1 species